rnacentral:rRNA from 1 species
GUGGGGAAUUUUGGACAAUGGGCGCAAGCCUGAUCCAGCAAUGCCGCGUGUGUGAAGAAGGCCUUCGGGUUGUAAAGCACUUUUGGCAGGAAAGAAAUAGCGCGUGCUAAUACCAUGCGCGAAUGACGGUACCUGCAGAAUAAGCACCGGCUAACUACGUGCCAGCAGCCGCGGUAAGACGUAGGGUGCAAGCGUUAAUCGGAAUUACUGGGCGUAAAGCGUGCGCAGGCGGUUUUGUAAGACAGGUGUGAAAUCCCCGGGCUCAAACUGGGAACUGCACUUGUGACUGCAAGGCUAGAGUGUGUCAGAGGGAGGUGGAAUUCCGCGUGUAGCAGUGAAAUGCGUAGAGAUGCGGAGGAACACCGAUGGCGAAGGCGACUACCUGGACUGAUACUGACACUGAGGUGCGAAAGCGUGGGGAGCAAACAGGAUUAGAUACCCGGGUAGUCC